CUUUCUGGCACGCGGCGGUUGUGUAAUCUGGAGGUUAGGAGGUUGCUUGGCAUAAUUUCUGCUGGUGUUACUUUCCAGCAAAUAAGCCGAAAAGUCUGCACACCAUCCAGCUGAUGAAAAAAUCUUAUGGGCACGAAAUAUAAAGAAGCCCAAGGAGGCCAGAAAAAGUAAUUUUCUUCUUACAUCUCCUGGGUCUGGACACGGCUGGUCAUGUGCAUAAGCCUGGUACGCCAAACUUUCUAGAAAAUUUACACCGCACUGAUAAAGUCUAGUAAUAAAUUUUCGCGCAUUCCCUGGUAAUAAUGCAAAGCUUUACAUAUGGUUGCCAUUAAGUGUGUGUUUAGCGAUAUUUCCGCUGCUACCACCAUCAGUUGGCUAUGCAAACACAUGGUUGCUGCUGCUGGGCAUGUUUGCAACGAUGAUACGUCCCUUUGUUGUUAAAUCUCAUGUGCAUUGGCAUAUCAAAUUACCAGCCAUGUGAACGUAUACAGGUAAACCAAUUUAAUGCUUGGCGCAUAGAUGCUGUGGCACUUAUUUGCAGCAUGACCUGUCCAAGUCCAAUUAUCCAACAGCGUUAUUCGCCUGCUGUCAAAUUAUCGCAACACAGCAGCAAUUAUUAGCGCCUAGGCGCUUUUAUAAAAUCAGUAGUAAAUUUAUUAAACAACAA